UUGAGUAGAGGCAGUGGUGGUAAGACACAAGGUUGGCACACCUACCGCAGGGCCGCUGGCAUAUCUGACUCUUUGGAGGGAGGGAGAGGAUGCCAGAAUGGAGGUGGUCAAUAAUUAUGGGGACAUUGGUUGAUGGGAAUUGACUUUUCCUCGUUAUAUGUUUAUAUCAAAUUGUGAUUAUUAGAAUGGAGAAAGGAGGAGGAGGAAGGAGAUGGUGGAGGUGCCGCACCUCCCUUUACCCAACCAACAAAAUGGUGUUGCCAUGAUGGAAGCUUGCUCAUGAACAUGUUAUCAAGGUGAUUUUCAGAUAUCAAGCUCAUAAACCCACCCAAAAGAGAAGGUUUAAAUUUUCGAACAGUUUGUUUCCCAGGAAAGGCAACAAUUUUUCUGGCUUACCAAAGGGAGAAAUAGAUGAACAACAUGCAACAGAGCAGGACUAGGCAGGAUUCCGGCCCAGACAACUUCUGUGAAGAAACUGUCAAUAUGAUGAAUGGAUUAUGAACCUUUUUUUAAGGGAGAAAAAAAAAAGGCUAUAAAAAUCAACGUAUUUGGAAAAAAAGAAUGCAAGUAAAAAAAAAAUCCAGCUGGACAUUUUUAAUAACUCAAAA